GCCGUUGCCCGGGUAAUUUUCUGGCUGCGAGGGGUGUGAGCCCGGGUCCAGAUGCACCUGCCGGAACUUGCCCCAGGGCAAGUGGGCCUGGUCUUGAGUGGUCGGAGGUCCAGGAGCCCUUGGCAUAACUUUCUCACUCACACACCCCAGCCUCACGCGUUAGGCUUUCCCCAGCAGACGGUGAGCCGGUGGCGGGAGGGCGCCUCGCAAUCCCAGGAGAGCCAAAGCUUCUUUCUCAGCUGCCGGAGAGCACGCAGAAGAGAAGCCAGAGGGGCAGCCUGUGACUUCAUGGGAAAAAUAGCCACCCAAGAUCUACCCAGCAUCAUUUUUAGUUCUUUAAUUUUGGUAAGCUCACAUUUUUAAAACAGAUCAAAUUUGUCUGAUUUCAUCCAGAAGUAUAUAUUACAAAGCAUUCAAAGGCAAGCGAGAACUCAAGGGGUCAGAGCAGAGCUCGAGAGCUUUUCACGGAGACACCAUUUGGGAGUGACAGAGGAUAUUGUCAAGUCUUAGAAGGGUUCUACCAUUUUCUUCUCCACCCUAAAGAGACUCGGAAAUUAGCGGCUGACGUUUUGCAUGAAAUUUCUGAAUGCUUGUCUUCUUAUCUCUGAGGCCUUCUGUGGAGAAUUAAGAGGAGGUUGAAUGCGCGCAUGGAUAAAAUGGAUCAUCUUAAAGGAUUGAAGUUCCAAAAAUACAUCAGCAGGACUGGACAGGUUUGACAUAAUGAGAUUUCUAUUUUAGCUUGACUUCUGGAACUCUGAAUAAACUGAACUGCACAAGGUCCUGGGGAGGAGGUUUCUCUUCUAAAAUAUUCUAGCUGCAGAUAAUAUUUUUCUUAUUCAGACCCUUUCAAGAAAUGUAUUUAUUCAUCCAUUUCUGCAGAAAUAAGACUAUUAGACACUGACCAACUUUUAAUAUAUGCAGUGCAUAGAAAGCAAUUUGUAUCAUACUGGAAAAUAAAUUUUCCUAAAGAAACAGACCCAGAGAGAGACGACAUCUCUACAUAAGCACAGGGUGAGAUGGCAGAAGCUCCUGUGGAUGCCUCAACUCUGCCUGUAACCGUGAAGAAAAAGAAAAGCCUAUCCAUUGAAGAAAAGAUCGACAUCAUAAAUGCAGUAGAAAGUGGUAAGAAAAAAGCAGAAAUUGCAGCUGAGUAUGGAAUAAAGAAAAAUUCGUUGUCUUCUAUUAUGAAGAAUAAAGACAAGGUUCUGGAAGCCUUUGAAUCACUGAGAUUUGAUCCAAAGAGAAAAAGACUGAGAACUGCUUUUUACACAGACCUGGAAGAGGCACUAAUGAGGUGGUAUCGAAUCGCUCAGUGUCUGAAUGUGCCAGUUAAUGGUCCAAUGUUGCGGCUAAAAGCUAAUGAUUUUGCCCAGAAACUGGGACAUAAUGAUUUUAAGUGCAGCAAUGGUUGGCUGGAUCGUUUUAAAUCCAGGUAUGGCCUAGUAUUCAGGGCUCAACCUGUAGAAUCCACAGGUGUAUCAGUAGACCCUUCAGCUGUCUGGCACCAAAACAUACUUCCUUAUUAUUUAAAUGAUUAUCAUCCUAAAAAUGUUUUUAAUGUAAAAGAGACUGGGCUGCUUUAUCGAAUGUUGCCUACAAAUACCUUUGCAUUUAAAGGAGAAACCUGUUCAAUUGGCAAGUUAUGCAAAGACAGAAUAACUCUGGUGGUUGGGACAAACAUGGACGGCUCAGAGAAACUUCCUCUGCUUCUCAUUGGAAAAAACAGAAACCCACAUUGCUUCAGAGGCAUAAAAUCAUUGCCUGUGUGUUAUGAAGCUAACAAAAUGGCAUGGAUGACUGCAGAUGUGUUUGAACAGUGGAUGCAGAAGCUGGAUGAGAGAUUUCAAGCUCAGCAAAGAAGAGUGGUGAUUUUUAUUGAAUCUUCUCCUGCACACCCGGAGGUAAAAAACCUGAAAUCCAUUGAAUUAGCGUUCUUUCCAUCAUGUUUAUCUUCCAAAUUUAUAGCUAUGAAGCAAGGUGUUAUUAGAAGCCUUAAAAUCAAAUAUCGACAUUGUCUUAUUAAGAAAUUUCUGAGCUCUGUUGAAGGCAGCAAAGAAUUUACCUUUUCCCUUCUAGAUGCAGUUGAUACAUUGCAUCUCUGUUGGAGGGCUGUCACCCAAGAGACUAUUGUUAAGAGCUAUGAAGAGGCAGGAUUCAAAUCUCAAAGGGGAGAAAGUGAGGAGGCAAAUGCAGAGACAGACACUGGUCUUGAUUUGGUUGCCGACGCCCAGGCGGCAGGAGUGGAAUUUCCCGAAGGCUUAUCUGUAGAAGAGUAUGCUGCCCUGGAUGAUGACUUGGAGACUUGUGAGCCAACACCAAGCGAUGAUGCUGUAUGCCCCAAAGUAAGUGAAUCAGAUGAAACUGGAUUUUAUACUUCUGACGAGGAGGAGGAUGGUGGAUCUCUGGAAAGCGAACUCCCUUUACCAUCAAAAAUUGAGGCAAUAACUGCUUUAGAUACUCUGAAAACUUUUCUUAGAAGUCAAGAUAUAAAUGAUGAGCUUCAUAAUUCUUUAGCAGAUCUUGAAAUUUUUAUUAACUCUUUAUCAUCUAAGUAAUUAUUUAUUGUACAACAUCUGAAGAUAAUAGAGCUUUUUAUAAUGUAUUUUAUUAUUAAUAUUUAAGGUAUGUAAAGGGAAAAUACCUCUUAAACCUAAAAAAUGCCUAACUAAUAAUUUUUGGUUUGAUUGCAGAUGUCUUUGGUCUGUCUGCAGAGCAAAGUUCCCUAGGUAGAUUAACUGAUGAAUGAAAGAAAAAUUUGCAUGUGAAUGCUUUCAGCAAACUCGGAAGUGUUCCACAACUAUAGCAAAUGACUGAAAGAUGCUUCCAGGUUACUACUCCCAGAUAUGCCCAAGUAUUAAUAUUGUGGUCACUAAACACAAAUGAGAAUUUUCUCAUUGAAAUUUCUUCUGUGCAGUAAAAUAGGACAGUCAACAUUUCUAGAAAUAUGCCAUUUAUCUGUAGAAAUAAAAAAUUAUUUCUGUUUUGAAUGAGGGAAUAAGGUGACUUAGAAAGCUUCAUUUUUUUUUCAGUUGAUCCUCAUGGAAAGCAAUUCAAUAAAAUAAGUACUCAUUGCGAAGUAGCUUUCUAAGUAGCCUGUCAUAUCACCACAUUAGCUGACUGAAUUGUACUGUUUCCUUGGGCUGUGUAUCUGAGGGUGACCCAGAGUCUGGGGAAAGACUAAUAAACACACUACUAUUGUAAUCUA